rnacentral:rRNA from 1 species
CGUGUAGGCGGUAUAAUAAGUCAGAUGUGAAAGUUCGGGGCUUAACCCCGGAAUUGCAUUUGAAACUGUAAUACUUGAGUACUGGAGAGGUAAGUGGAAUUCCUAGUGUAGCGGUGAAAUGCGUAGAUAUUAGGAGGAACACCAGUGGCGAAGGCGACUUACUGGACAGAUACUGACGCUGAGGCGCGAAAGCGUGGGGAGCAAACAGGAUUAGAUACCCUGGUAGUCCACGCCGUAAACGAUGAGUGCUAGGUGUUGGGGAGACCCAGUGCCGCAGUUAACACAAUAAGCACUCCGCCUGGGGAGUACGGUCGCAAGACUGAA